CUACUUGGCCUUAGAGAAGAUAAAACAGCGAUAGUGCUCUCAAUAAAAUCUUGGUAAUAAUUGGUAAUUAUUACCAAGAUUUUAUUGAGAGCACUAUCACUGUUUUAUCUUCUCUCCGAGCUCCUGAUAUU